GCCAGCCUGAGAGUGAGUGCUCUCUUGAUCUGGCAGCCAGAGAUCUCUAAUUGAGUCAGAGGUCCACAGCUAUUGUUCCAGUGAAUGACAGUGCAGGGAACACUAAAUGCUCGAAGAACCCUGCAGCAGGUGUCAGUUUUACUGAAACAAGCCCAUGAAAUUCAGGAAGAAAGGAAAGAAAAUGGGAGGAGAGACAGAAGAGCGCUGGAAAGUUACAGACAGCAAUGACCUGGAAGCUGCAAUUUUGCCGAGGCACACACGCUUCCAGGCACUCAGUAGGGAGAGCCACUGUUGAAGGCUGUCUGCCUGGGGAUGACUUCAGCCAGAAGAUGGGCGCUGUAAAUAAACAUGCCUGUUUUUCAGAAGAAGAGUUGAGAGUAUAUCUGAUUCCACAGUUAAUGUUUCUAACCACUAGGCCACAUGGCUUCCUAAUCCCUAGGUUCAGAGCCCCUCUACUUGGUACAG